UCAACCCUAAUUAUGAGGAUCUAAAUAAUCACUAUUUAAUUAUUUUGGAAUUAUUAUUUAAGUGCUAAAUAAGGGUUUAUUAAUAUUUUAAACAAACAUUAUCCAAAUGCCACCAAAUUUUGUGUGGAGCCAGGGAAUAAUAUUCAGAGGCUCCCCACAAUUUUUGGUGAUUUUUGGACAUACAAUUAAAUUAUUAAAAAUCAUACAAGUUUUAUUUGCUAAUUAAAAGGGCCAAUUUUUAUAUCCUUGCAAACUAUUAGAAAGCAGAACCUAGUAUUUUUCUUGGAUCCUACAUAUUUCAGAGAGUUUAUACAAAAAUUCUCAUUAUUUUUGGAUCAGCACAGAAUUCACCAUUCAAAUUCAAACAUUAAGCACUUUUAAACAAAAAGAAAAAAAAGAAAAGGGCACUGUGCCACGCUGGCGGCCCGCUGGGAUCCGGCCCAAGUCGGCCCGAGAGUGCUCUCCCGCGUGGACCGCGCGCGCGCUCUCUCUCACGCGGCUACUGACGGGCGGGACCCGCCCGUCAGAGGCGUCUUCAACCUCCCACCACCGCUCCGGUGAGCUCCGGCUCCGCGCCGGUGAGCUCCCGGCCUGCGCGGCGGGGUGGGUUAGCAUCUCCGGCGUCUCACGCAAC
rnacentral:lncRNA from 1 species